UACGGAGGGUGCAAGCGUUAUCCGGAUUCACUGGGUUUAAAGGGUGCGUAGGUGGCUUUGUAAGUCAGUGGUGAAAUGCCGCAGCUCAACUGCGGAACUGCCAUUGAUACUGCUUAGCUUGAAUCACGUCGAGGUGGAUGGAAUAUUACAUGUAGCGGUGAAAUGCUUAGAUAUGUAAUAGAACAUCGAUUGCGAAGGCAGUUCACUAGGCGUGUAUUGACACUGAGGCACGAAAGCGUGGGGAUCAAACAGG
rnacentral:rRNA from 1 species